AUGCCGUGAUGAGGGUAUUUUCUCAACACUUCUUUGUACCUUUCCCAUGCAUCAGAAACUGUUUCAUCAUCUAUUUCUUGAAAAAAAAACAUAUUUCAUUUAUGGACUU